UACGGAGGGUGCAAACGUUGCUCGGAAUCAUUGGGCGUAAAGCGCACGUAGGCGGCGAAGCAAGUUGGGUGUGAAAGCCCUGGGCUCAACCCAGGAAGUGCAUUCAAAACUGCUUCGCUUGAAUCUCGGAGGGGGUCAGAGAAUUCCCGGUGUAGAGGUGAAAUUCGUAGAUAUCGGGAGGAAUACCAGUGGCGAAGGCGCUGACCUGGACGAAGAUUGACGCUGAGGUGCGAAAGCGCGGGGAGCAAACAGG
rnacentral:rRNA from 3 species